rnacentral:rRNA from 1 species
ACGGAAGGCAGCAGUGGGGAAUAUUGUACAAUGGAGGAAACUCUGACCCAGCAACGCCGCGUGAAGGAAGAAGGUCUUCGGAUUGUAAACUUCUUUUAUGAGGGACGAAGGACGUGACGGUACCUCAUGAAUAAGCCACGGCUAACUACGUGCCAGCAGCCGCGGUAAUACGUAGGUGGCAAGCGUUAUCCGGAUUUACUGGGUGUAAAGGGCGCGUAGGCGGGGAUGCAAGUCAGAUGUGAAAUCUAUGGGCUUAACUCAUAAACUGCAUUUGAAACUGUAUCUCUUGAGUGCUGGAGAGGUAGACGGAAUUCCUAGUGUAGCGGUGAAAUGCGUAGAUAUUAGGAAGAACACCAGUGGCGAAGGCGGUCUACUGGACAGUAACUGACGCUGAGGCGCGAAAGCGUGGGGAGCAAACAGGAUUAGAUACCCUGGUA